rnacentral:rRNA from 1 species
GACGAACCGUGCGAACGUUGUUCGGAAUCACUGGGCUUAAAGGGCGCGUAGGCGGGCUGUCCAGUCUGGGGUGAAAUCCCGCGGCUCAACCGUGGAACUGCCUUAGAUACUGACGGCCUCGAGGGAGAUAGGGGCAUGCGGAACUGUAGGUGGAGCGGUGAAAUGCGUUGAUAUCUACAGGACUCCGGUGGCGAAGGCGGCGUGCUGGAUCUCUUCUGACGCUGAGGCGCGAAAGCUAGGGGAGCAAACGGG